rnacentral:tRNA from 1 species
CGUUCUGUGGCGAAAUUGGUUAACGCACCCUGCCUAGCGAAUUAAAAAGACGUGGGUUCAAAUCCCACAAGAACUA